rnacentral:pre_miRNA from 1 species
CUAGUACUCCCUCCGUCCGAAAAUACUUGUCAUCAAAAUGGAUAAAAAGAGAUGUAUUUAAAACUAAAAUACAUCUAGAUACAUCCUCUUUUAUCCAUUUUGAUGACAAGUAUUUCCGGACGGAGGGAGUACUAG